rnacentral:rRNA from 1 species
CCUACGGGGGGCAGUAGUGGGGAAUAUUGGACAAUGGGCGAAAGCCUGAUCCAGCCAUGCCGCGUGUGUGAAGAAGGCCUUCGGGUUGUAAAGCACUUUCAGUGGGGAAGAAAGCCUUGGGGCUAAUACCCUCGAGGAAGGACAUCACCCACAGAAGAAGCACCGGCUAACUCCGUGCCAGCAGCCGCGGUAAUACGGAGGGUGCGAGCGUUAAUCGGAAUUACUGGGCGUAAAGCGCGCGUAGGCGGUCUGAUAAGCCGGUUGUGAAAGCCCCGGGCUCAACCUGGGAACGGCAUCCGGAACUGUCAGGCUAGAGUGCAGGAGAGGAAGGUAGAAUUCCCGGUGUAGCGGUGAAAUGCGUAGAGAUCGGGAGGAAUACCAGUGGCGAAGGCGGCCUUCUGGACUGACACUGACGCUGAGGUGCGAAAGCGUGGGUAGCAAACAGGAUUAGAUACCCUUGUAGUC